AUACUUACCUGGCGUACGGAUACCAUGAUCAUGCAGGCGGUUACCCCAGGGUGAGGCUGCUCCAUUGCACUGCGGAGUGGUUGACCCUUGCGAUUAUUUUUAUAAGUUUCACUUCUACCAUGUAUGACUUGCACAUACA
rnacentral:snRNA from 9 species